AGGUGGUAAGGCUAGAACGGGCUGAUGGUAAGCAGCAGGCCUGCUCAGAGGAGGGCUCCAUGCCUGCCCCCUGCCCUUCAUAAAGCUCUGGGAGGGAGGGCUGUUUGCUGAACCCAGACUGGCCAGACGUCCUUCUUGUUGAGGAAGAGCACGAUGGACGUGGUGGCGAAGUAGCGGUGGUUGCAGAUACUGUUGAACAGGCCCAGCCGGACACUCACCACUUCGUCGUCCUCCACCAGCACCAUGUCGUAGGCGCUCAGCGCCGCGAUGAAGAUGAUGCAGGUCACCCCCUCGAAGCAGUGGAUCCACUUUUUGCGCUCUGAGCGUUGCCCGCCCACAUCGAACAUCCUGCGGGGCCAUGAGGACCGGAAACCCGUGCAUCAAGUCCCCCCGAGACGCCCACAAGCAUCCCCUGGCUUCCUAAUGCUGGCUGGGAGGCACCCAGAUUCAGGCCCUGUUCAGCUUGUCUCUUGGCACACCUGGCGCGCAGAGUCUCCGUACUGGAUGUUGAGUGUGGUCAUGGCACGCACGAUGGCCAGGAUGGACUGUAGUGUGUUGCCAUAAAUGAUGGCAAUGAACUCGAGACACUCUUCCAAUUCACCGGCACCUGGAAUGGAAACCUGGCCUCAGAGAUGCGCACACCGCACCAUACCCUCUAUCCCACCUGUUUCCGUACCACACUCCCAAAAUAAGGUCCUGAUGCCCCAGAAGCAAAAUCUAAAUGUCAGGAGUGACCGAAGGGGGCUGACGAGGCGAAUGGACAACCUCAACUCUGUCCUGGAGCCUCCAACAACUUGGUAUGCUGUCUUAUCUUUCGGAGGCCAAAAAUAAAGAAACCUGGAGCUCCACCUUGUGGACG